rnacentral:rRNA from 1 species
UACGUAGGGUGCAAGCGUUGUCCGGAAUUAUUGGGCGUAAAGGGCUCGUAGGCGGUCCAUCACGUCGGGUGUGAAAAGCUGGGGCUUAACCCCAGUCCUGCUUCCGAUACGGGUGGACUAGAGGUAGGCAGGGGAGAACGGAAUUCCUGGUGUAGCGGUGAAAUGCGCAGAUAUCAGGAGGAACACCGGUGGCGAAGGCGGAUCUCUGGGCCAUUACUGACGCUGAGGAGCGAAAGCGUGGGGAGCGAACAGG